rnacentral:rRNA from 1 species
AGUGGGGAAUAUUGGACAAUGGGCGCAAGCCUGAUCCAGCAAUGCCGCGUGGGUGAAGAAGGUCUUCGGAUUGUAAAGCCCUUUCGGCGGGGACGAUGAUGACGGUACCCGCAGAAGAAGCCCCGGCUAACUUCGUGCCAGCAGCCGCGGUAAUACGAAGGGGGCUAGCGUUGCUCGGAAUUACUGGGCGUAAAGGGCGCGUAGGCGGCCUUGUCAGUCAGGCGUGAAAUUCCUGGGCUCAACCUGGGGGCUGCGCUUGAUACGGCAGGGCUAGAGGACGGAAGAGGCUCGUGGAAUUCCCAGUGUAGAGGUGAAAUUCGUAGAUAUUGGGAAGAACACCGGUGGCGAAGGCGGCGAGCUGGUCCGUUACUGACGCUGAGGCGCGACAGCGUGGGGAGCAAA